CAGCCUUUAUUGUAAACUUCUUACAGUCUUAAUACUUCAUUUGUUAUAACAAAGGAAGUAAUAUUUGUUGAAGUUACAGAAUCAUUGGGAUGGUAAAUGAGAAACGGUUACCAAGAGACUCUGAUGUAGGUACUCAUCUGUUUCUCUUUUUUUUAUAGCAACAUAUAGACUCUAAGAAGCAUCAAAAGCCUUGUACCUACCAAUGUCAUAAUUCUUAAUUUUUAUUAAUGAGAAGAGCAGGCACUGAAAACCAUGCUUUGAAAUUAGUCCUAAAAAUAUGGACUGGAUUUUCCUUAACAUGUGAUCCUGUAUAUGCUUAUUUUUCCCUGUCCAGGUUUAAGAGCAGGACUAGCUGCCUCAAUUGCUGGGAGUUCUAUUAUCAACAAAAUGUUACUAGCAAAUAUUGAUCCUUUCGGUGCAACCCAUUUAUUGACCCAGAUCCAGAUUCAGUAGAUGGAUAUUCAGAAAAAUGUGUCAUGAACAAUUACUUUGGGAUUGGAUUAGAUGCAAAAAUUUCAUUAGAAUUUAAUAAUAAGAGAGAGGAGCACCCUGAAAAAUGCAGGAGCCGAACUAAAAACUUGAUGUGGUAUGGAGUCCUUGGAACCCGGGAGUUACUACAGAGAUCAUACAAGAAUUUAGAACAGAGGGUUCAGCUUGAG